UACGGAGGGGACUAGCGUUGUUCGGAAUUACUGGGCGUAAAGCGCACGUAGGCGGAUUUGUAAGUCAGGGGGUGAAAUCCCGGGGCUCAACCUCGGAACUGCCUUUGAUACUGCAAAUCUCGAGUCCGGAAGAGGUGAGUGGAAUUCCUAGUGUAGAGGUGAAAUUCGUAGAUAUUAGGAAGAACACCAGUGGCGAAGGCGACUUACUGGACACAUAUUGACGCUGAGGUGCGAAAGCGUGGGGAGCAAACAGG
rnacentral:rRNA from 1 species